CACGAAACUUGCCCCGAGAUGAGUUCUCCCUGAGACUUUAAGUCUCCUGAAGGAACGUUAAAGACGAUGACGUUGAUAGGUCGGGUGUGUAAGUGUAGCGAUACAUUGAGCUAACCGAUACUAAUGAACCGUGAGGCUUAACCUUACAACGCCGAAG
rnacentral:rRNA from 1 species